GAAGAGAUAAUCUGAAACAACAGUAUAUGACUCAAACUCUCCUCUUCUCCUCCUCCCAUAAGCACAAUUCCCUGAAAGGCUUCUUCUAAGCCUGGUAUCCUGGGAGUGGCAGUGUUUUCAGCGUGGCAGACAGAGCAGUCAGGAAGCUGGGAGCCCAAACAGCGUGAGACAAAGCCACAAAACAGAGGCCGCGCAUCAGUCG
rnacentral:lncRNA from 10 species